rnacentral:lncRNA from 1 species
AAAGCAUCGAUUGCUGUUCGAGUCUGAAGGUAAUCUCUUUGGAAAGGAAAGUUCAAGUUCUCUUGCUGAGAGAGAGAGUUCCUGGGAGUUGGAGUCUCCAGACGAGUGUCUCUCAAGUGGAGAUAUUUUCUGACUCGAUCCAUAGGUAAGGGAUAGGAUCUAGCAAGUAUGUUAUUACGCUUAGGAAAGUUCCCCGUCAUCAAAUUCGAAUCCUUCUGCUUUCGAUGGCGCCGAUCUAAUAAUAUACCUUAUAAAUCCAAUAAUAUACCUUAUAAAGAAAAGAUCAAGACUAUAUAAUCCGCUAGCCUAGUUGCAGGGAAUUGGAUUUCUCAGUGCCCGUUGGGAUAAGGUGGAGUCUCUUGGGGCUUACAUCUCGCGCUGUAAUAGAUCUCUUUCCCUUAAAGGUGAUAGUUUCUCUUAAUAAUUCGUUCUUUCCUUUCACUCUAUCGAAGGAUAUGUGUAGGUCUAAGGCGCUGAUAGAUUGAUUUCCUUUCCAAGUGCUAUCUAAGAAGUGAGUGCUCAAUCGAGUUUCAAGUAUGACCGAGUAAUAGGAUUACAGCUUAUACAGGAAUACCCUUUUCUGCUUUUGCUUGAUUCGAUUCAUAAAGUGCUCAAAGAUAAGUGCGUUUUCAAUACCUAAGGCAAGUGUUCUAUAAAUUCGUUAAUAAAGUCCGGGUAGAAAUCAAUACGGAUGGAUUUGAUUGAAGCCUAUAUCUGCCGAUCUUUUGUUGCUCUUGAGCGAACGAAUAGGUUACCUUAUUAUUCCAUAUCCCUCUGCUGGAACAGAAGUCGAGUGGAUCAGUAGCAUCUUGGUAUAAGUAAGUACCGAUAUCGAUAUAGAGCAAUUGUUGCCGGCCUAAAUAGUUGGGCAGGAUAACUCCUGAUAGAUUAACCGAUCUGAGUUUGGUAUUUCCAUUCCUAUAGGAUUUGGGCGGAAUUCCUUUUUGAGAGAAAGAACCAAAUCAAAAGAAAAACAAUGGAGAUCCAUUCACCCUGUCUUUAGAUUCUCAUUCUAUGCUAGGGGGAACUGUUCUACUUUCAUGCAAGGCUUAUUGACGCUGAUGUUCGAAAUCGCUCUGUGUCCAUCUUUACUAACAUGCCUUUGAGAAAUAGAGUCCUUGGUUAUGAUUAUACUGUUCUAUGCCCUCGGGUUCCUUCACUCGCUUAAGAGAACUAUAUUCUUUGCUCUUUCCCCAGACACCGAGACUUGCACUUUUGACUGACAUUCCGCUUGUGUUCCGUGGAGUAGCUUCUUUAUCCCGUCGCAGGAAAGGAGCGACUACUCUUGCUUGGCCGUUAAGAGUUCUGCUAUUUUCUUCUUUUGUGGGGCAUCUUAUAAUCCUUAGUUUUGCUUGCUUCUGUGAGCAUAUCCUGUUCAACGAGUAUGGUUUCUUAGCUACUGGCAUCCUUUCCUUCGUGCUAACAGCCAAAGACCCAUUUGUCCAAUCCAAACCUAUAAGGCGCACAAAGAAGCACUUCUCUUACGAACGUUGGAGCAUCACUUACUCGCGAAUCCCGAAAGACAGACUUCCUGAGCACUUGCCUAUUUCUAUUCAUUUCUAUUCCUUGCCUAUUUCUAUUCAUUUCGAUUCUAUUAUUCUUUGUUAGGCUAUUCGCGGGGAAAAAGAAGGGCCUUUCCUCUUGGCAUCGAUCUCAUAUCUGUGUCAAAGAGCGGAGAUUCUCUUAUCUAUGUCUCUUCUAAACUAUGCAUGCCUGCUCCUAAAAUGCAUUCUUUGUUUAGUUCAUACACUGCACUCCUUCGCCACCCGGAGACAAAGAUUCCAUAAAUGAAGUUUCCUGCAAGCGCAAAGUAGACCAGAGAAUCAAAAGGAGAACGAUCUAAAGUAGAAAGAUACGGGUCUCAAGUAGGAGUAGGAUCUUAUGUGGGUAAAGAAUAUAGAGCUGGUGAGGAAGCCGGGUUCACUCAUAGAAUUAUUCAGAAGCUAACUACAGCGGAAAAGAAGAAAGAGUCAACCUAAAGCAUUAAAGAGAGAAACAGCCCUUAUGUUUUCAAGAGAAAGAAGAUACUUGCUAAGAUAGAUAUACCCCGUUUUGAAGCAAUGCUCUGUUAGGUUAAGAAUUGAUGGAAUAUGCGGAUCAUGUUAUUCAAGCAAGGGCAGCUUAUUUAUUAGAUGGGGAGCGGGUAGUUACAUCAAAAUAAGUAUAGCAAGCCCGAGUUCCCGGUUGAGUCUAUCAGGUAGUAAGCCGAUUCCCUCUUUUGCUUGUUUCGACCUUACCGGUAUUGUAUUGGUGACAGGAUCCGGGUAUCGAGUGCAACUCUUUCCAUUAGUAGUCAAAGGCUAAGUUCCUAGUUAAAGUACUUCCAUUAGCUGUUCCAUCCGCCAAGUCACUACCACAGAUGAGACUGACAUCGCUACUAACGACACAACUAGGCGAUUUAGUUACUACCGGCAAGACUUCACCUAGUACUUCCAAAGCAUUACUCGACCCACACAGGGUUUAGUAGCCCCUGACUUGCUUUCGUUCUCGUAGUCGUCCCUGGCGUUCCGGCUCAACACUUAUACCAUUACUCAUGAGAAUUCAUUGUUGUAGCCCAAGCCGUAGUCUUAUGCCACGCCCAGAGCAGAAAAAAACACGAGUCCUCUGUGUUUCAAAGCUGACACUACUAAGCCAUCAAGUCACCCAACUAUUAGAUCCACCCUAGUGUUAUAGAAAGAAAGUAUAGAUGGUAAGGCGGGGAAACAUAGAUAUCAGAUCUGAAGUAAGUAGUCGAUUUCCUAUUGAGUAGAGCAAGUCUGCUCCAAGCGAGUAAGGAUCUAAAUCAGUAGACACAGGGUGAGAUCGAGCUUUGAGGUAGGUGGUGGCAGUAGAUAGGUCAUAAGUAAAAACAGGCCUAUUAGCAGUAGUUGGUUUCCCGGUUGCUAGUUAAGGACCUGUUAGUGCUAGUGGAAUUCUCUUUUCUUGGAUUCAUUGCUAGAUGCGCUAUAGAUUAUACCUAUGCUUCUAAAUGCCCUAAUAAAUAAGUUCAUUAAGGGUUGCAUUAUGGUUGCAUUCUUAGAAGAACACGGAUAACUAAUUGAAUAAUGAAAAGCGAUAAAAGAAAGAAACACAUAAUAUAGAAUAGAACCCGGGCGGAAAAGACUGCUACUUACUAAUAUAGGAAUAAAAGAACUACUAGAAAGAGUCACUACCUGCCCAACAAACAAGACAACAACUCAUAAGUAGGAGAAUGCGAUCAAUAACAGGAAGACCAGAACUAGCGGUGUAAAGAACUUCUAUAAGAAUACUGAAUUGAGAAGGACACUUGGAAUCCAGCCGUAUAGGAAUAACGACUACCAUAUGGAAUGCAACUAACAACCAUUAGCCUUAAGUUGCUACUGAUAGGGUUCAGUCGGAAUACACCGAACUUGGUCAAGCGCCAAUACUAAUAUAUCAAUAAAAGAAUUGCACCGAUACCAAUAAGGACGGAACUACCAGCCAGCAGCCAGCAGCUGACGCUGACCUUACUUUUCUUCUUUCACUAAUGACCCGGAACCCUGUCGUCUGUAUUGCACCUCGGAUUCUUACACACUCCAUAGAGAUAGGCCUUACUCAUAUAGCCAUAAAACGGAUAAUACUUUCUAUUAGAAUAGAGAAUUGCGCUGGCAUUAGCAGGAUGAAACCGCUGUUUUUAAGGCUGCAUUUAGACAAAAAGAAAGACUUCUUAACGAAAUGGGAGGGAAUUCUUUCACUGCCGGGCAUGAUCCUGAUCCUGUCUCCUUGCUUACUUUAACUGAUUAAGAUAAGACUUGCUCUUUGGCACAAGAGAAUCGAACCUUAUGGCACGUACUCAAAACAGGCAAUCCGAAUAAACCCAAUGAAACAAACCAAUAAGAAGAAUACUAGAAAUAGGAACUAAGCCUGGCAACUACUACCCAUAAUGUAAGUAUUAAUACGGGAGGGCAAAAAGGCAAGUAAAUAAGGAUCGAACUAAGGGAGAAGGAUUGUGCUACUGGGUUGAGUUCUAUGAGUGAAUUUAUUGAUUAUGAGUUGGCAAAGGCAAAGCAAGGAAUAGCUACGUUAUAAUGAGUUAUUCCGGUUUCUCAUUUGUGUUUCUUAGUUUCAUUCCCGUUUUCUUGUUUCGUUAGUGCACAGUUGGAUUCGUUAUGGGCUGUGUCUCAGCCAUGCCCCCCAGGAGAAAGUAUCAUCGGUUUCAGUUCUAUUCAGGGGUUAUCGUCAGAGUAGGAAGAAAGAUGUUUGCUGAGCACCUGCACCAACUGUUAUCAAGGGAAGAGAAAAACAACUACCUUUUUUCACUAAGAAACUAGAAGCAAACUACUAAUAAACUAGAUUCAAAUCUCAUAUAAGAAAAACAUUCUAUCUAACAUGCAUGAGUGAACAAAUUAAUAGAAGAGUGGAACUGGAACAUAGGCAUUUACGAGCUAGCUACUAUAAUACAAAGAAGGGAUAGGCAUAUUUCAAAAAGGCAGGACAGACUUGAUCGAUAGGAUAGUAAGGAUGCCGGAUAGCAGUUUCAGAGCUAAAGCAAGGGUCGACAUACUGAGCUCGCUGGGGAGAUGCUAGAUGAUAAAAGGAACCCCGAUUUCGGUAUGAUUGAAUAUACCACUUUUUCUUAAGGUGCUCGCCCAAGGCUAAUUAUUAUAUCUUAUCUAAUGACAAAUCAUUCUUUCUUUCCCACUUGGCACUUGUGGUAGCUUAGCUGCAUUCCGCUUACUAGUUUUGUUGAGGUCGCUACUCUUUCUUCUCCUUGUUUAGGUCGGCUUACUCUUUCUUCUCCUUGUUUAGGGCGCUUACUCUUUCUUCUCCUACUGAGUUGUUUUAUGUAUUCUGGAAAUGACUGAUUCAGCUAAGGAUCUUACUUAAGCCAAAGAUAUCGUUAUGUUCUUAUUAUUGAUUAUGUCUAUAAGGGGUAAUUGACGAAUUACUAAUUCCAAAAGAGUCUUGACUAGCGCCCAAAGAGUCAAAGUAGGGCGUGGCCAAGCGGUAAGGCAUCGGGGUCCCUACAUUCGGAGGUUAUAAUCCUUCCGUCCCAGAUCGUUUCCAUCAUAAACUCAAGAUGGGAUCACAUUGUAUCCCACAUAAGUGUCAAAAUCAUAAAGAUAACAACCUUUUCUUUUGUUCUGAAUUAGGAGAAUGGAUUCUUAGAAUCCUAUUGCUUUCUAUCUUAUAUCUGACAUGUCAAAAAUCAAUAUAUUUGGAAAUCCAUGUAACGGGGCGGGGGGAUAUUUUGAUAUGGGGAAUCUAUUGGAACUUGAUUGUAAGGUAUAUAUGGAAGAAUUGUUGUAAGGGUAUAUAUGGAAGAAUUGUUGUAAGGGUAUAUAUGGAAGAAUUGAUUGUAAGGUAUAUAUGGAAGAAUUGUUGAACCGGUGAAAACAAUAUAUAAUAUAUCCUUAGAAUUGGAACUAGGCCUAUGUAAUCCGCUUGCUAUCCCUAUAUGUGUCUAUGCUAUCCAUGCUUUCCCUAUAUGCUAUCCCUAUAUGUGCUUAUGCUAUAUCAAAUAAGUUUCUUGUCAUUGUUGUAUUUCAAUAGCAAUGGCCUUUCACUAAAUCAUUUUAGGAAGGGGUGGAGAUCUCUUCUUCUUCAAAUAUCCACGAUUACCCCCAGUUACAAUAUGAUGAUUCGUAUACUUAGGGAAUGAACUAUCCGCUAUGAAUUUGGAGCAACUCAUUGUGCGUCGACUUGGUGAUGGAAUUAUAGAUCCAGUUCUUUAGUCAUGACUAUAAAACAUAGUUCCAGUCAUAAUGCUGAAGUGAAGUCGGAGAUCUUUUCAAACAUUCUUUUAUUAACUCUUGGUUGGUACUCGAAGAAGUAUGAGAAAUCCAUAGUAUAUCAACAAGAAAGGCAGUGAUUCAAGAGGAAUAAUUCCUAUCGGUGAAAUUCAUCUCUUCUCCCAGAUCUUCUUUGUAGUCCGGUAUAUGUCUGAAUUCAUCUUGUCAGUGUCAGUUAGAGGAAUUGUUUGACUUGGCUGCUUCCUUCGAUAAGUAGGUUCUUCCUUUUUUUGACUAUAUACCCCCUCGCUCUUCUUCUCCGUUUUGUAAGUGAAUUAAAGACGAACAUAAGAAAUAGUUGAACGAUCCACUUUUCUAUCCGGCUAGAAAUCCCAGAUAAGCAGUUUUGCCUUCUACACGUACUUUUGCCAAUGCAUCGGCUCUCUGUCCUAAAAACCACACCCGAAGAAAGGCCAGCCCAGAGCUGCUAUUCUAGUUAUUAUAGUCAAAAAGAGGCUAGGCAACGACUCUUCUUUGGUUAUUCUAGUGAAAAGAGGCUAGGCAACAACUCCUCUUUUGGCGGGAACACGAGCAAAGGCAACUUCCAAGUCAGCGGGUACUAGCCUGACAGCCCGACCUCACUAAGGAAUAGAAACAUAGAAAGGCCCUCAAUAAAAGGAAAGAAAGAGUCUCUUCCCCGGAAAACUCUCCUCUUGGUCAGCUGCUCCUCGGUCUCGAACGGUCCCCAGUUCGUUCCUUAAAACAAGAAUCCGCGCCUCUGGUCUUGUCUUGAAAUGAAAGCAAUCUCCUCUGGAAAGGCAUUACUGAGACGUCCGAAUCUCUUCUUAUCUUAUAUUCGAAGCAAGGACAUGUUGGCAGUGAAGUUCCACAGACGUGGUCCAGACAGAGACUAUACUUUCCCUUUCCAUUAGGGUUUUCUAUUGACCACAGACACAGUGCCCCAGAAAAGGCUUAGUAUUCGAUACUGUCGCAGGUGUCCCUACGGCUUCAGGCAGUUCUAUAGCCCGUGCCCACUUUCCCCACCGAGUCAAUCAAAAGUGUUUUGCUUUGGCUAAAGCCCUUUUGUAGAUCCAUGUGGGUCUCCGCCUUUGUCUUUUAGGCUAUAAGGUUGGCGCCCCCCUUUCCCCUGCCCCCCUGUCGUUAAAGAACUUAUUUAGACUUUCGCUUUCGGUUUCAUUUCAUCAGCAGUGAGGGUCUAGAAAAAACUCCUUUCACUGGUUUCCCCUAUACCCUAAGCCGGGCGACGUACGGUGUGACAGACAAAGAAGAUAUGCGUGGGAUUUAGUACCUUACGAAGGGGUAAUCCGACAACCUGUUUCAUCCAACGACAUCGAGGGAAACCCCAAGUCUUCGGGGGCAAGUAGACUAAAUGGAAUAUGAAAUCGCGGAUACACUCGGAACCACUCAAAUCAUGACGAGGUGAAAGCAAACUACUGCUGCAUUCUCAAUAUAUCAUAAGAUCGAUCUCAAAGUAAGGGCGGCAACUAUUAAUAUAAAGAAGGAGAGUGCGCGCUUCCCUUCACUGAUAAGACGGUACGAAAAAGAGUCUGCCUGCAUGAUCGUCCGCUACCUUAGAUUAUACAUCUGUCUUCGCCUAACCAACAUUACUGCAUUGGAUACUAGUGCAUACAGAGAAAAGCCCCUCUCGCUCAAGAUUUCAGGAGGUUACGACCUACUUUUCCUACAAAAACUCACCGCUUUAACUAACUGAGCUGCUUCCACUCCUUAAAGCACUAUCGCUUCCUACUGCUUUAAGUACCAAAAUAGUAUUAGCAUAUAAUAAGAUGAAGAUGCUCGAAAGGGUUCUUUGUCAAGCCAGAAAGCGCAAACCAAAGUUUUUCGAGAGGCCGACCACUUGAGACGGGUAUAAGAACUCACCCUUGUUAGGAAGUUUCCAGAGGGGCGCUUCAAUAGUGUAGAAAUGGGAAUCAAAGACGGAGGAGCCUAGCCUGAUUCUCCUGCUUCCUUCCUUAUCGCUAACCGAUGCUAAUCAUGCUUGACUUUACCUCUGAGAUUGUCCCCAGGCCCUUCUCCUACCUCUAUUGAUGGAAAAUAAGUAGGUCUGUGGUAAUGUCAAAGGUUCCCCACACCUUCUUUGUCUGAGUGCUGCCUCCUUCCUUCUUCCCGUCAAUCAUCGUUAAGGGUUUCAAAUCCAUAGGCGCUGCUAAAAUGGCUUCUUUCUGCCUUGGCUAUAGGAACAUAAUCUCCAUAAUAGGGCGGUUUGCUUCUGAGUAGUUCUGUCCUUCCCUCCCCUAUCCGAGAUGUGCUCUUGAAAGAUCUCCCUCUUCAGCUUGGUUAGGUCUUAGAGAAGUCACUUCUUUACCUAAGGUUGUAGCCAAGGGGAUACUUGAUUCUUCUAACAAAGAAGUAGCCAAGGGGAUACUUGAUUCUUCUAACAAAGAAAGCAAAGGAAAAUCUAUUAUGAGAGAAUCUUCCUUCAAAGAUGCUUUUCUCGAUUCCCCUACAUCUACGAAUGGCUAAAUGCUUUCUCACGUAGGGCUUACUAUAAGGGAGGGGUUCCGCUUUCUUUCAUUCCUAAAGAAGGAAGGGGAAGGUAUUUCCUCAUAAAGGAGUUUGUUCUUAGUAGCAGCCGGAUACCUUUAAAGAGAUAAGUCUACCUUUGUUCCAGCCAUUCUCAAGAUCUUUCAUUUCCGGUUUCAUAAGAGAGGAUAGCAUAUAGCUUAGCCUCAUUCCUAUAGCUCAUAGAGAAGUUCCUCUUAUCCAGCAUAUUUACAUUAGUCAAAUCCUACUGGUCGAUCAAUGGUUGUGCUUGAAGCCUUAUUCUCUGUAUCAGGCAAGAAGAGGAAAGGAAGGUAAGUUCGAGAUAUAUCAUAAGAAAGAGAAGAAAGAAAGAGAUGAACUCUUUAUAAGAAAGAGAAGAAAGAAAGAGAUGAACUCUUUGGAGCGCUUCUCGGCGGUAAGACAGACCGUGAAUGAAUAAGAAAGAAAGAAGAUAUAGUUCUAUUUCCUGCAUGAGGGAAAUCGACCGAUGGACAUGCUUGACUUUACGUAUAAGUAGUGCUAGGAUUACUUGCCUUAUUACAUAUGUCUUGCUAGUAUAUAGCAGUAGUCGGAGUAGCACUAGGAUAAGUCGGGGUCAGCACUUAGUAAACCUUUCCACUCAUACUUAAUAGUAUACCAUCACUGUUAGCAGACUGUGCCAUUCCUUACACUGUUAGAAUAACUUCUCAUCUCCCACCUUCUAUAAUGCGCAUAUUGAGACUGAGCUUGCUUGCAUUAAGCCUAUCGCCUGCCUCCCUAAGACCUUUCUAUUGUGCCUGUCGUUAACUCCAGUGUACCUUCCUUUCGGAGAGUGCCUUACUCUGAAGUAAUAGACUGAUUAGAUUGCCGGGAGUGGAUUCUUCUUUUUACCAAACAUAUGGGAAAAGGAUCCAAUCCAAUGACUUCGAAAGAAUGGAACGAGGAGCAUUCCACGGCCGGGGGAACAGAGGUAUCUCAUGGUUAGUUCUGUAGAGUAGCAGUAAGUGGGGAAUACUAGCUUGCUUUAGGAACUUACUAACUUCGCCGAGGUAACUAUGUCCUCAGCCGAGCCAACUUCAUCAGCAGUUCUAUAUAUGGGUGUUGUCGACACAAGAGAAGAAGCACAAUCCGGAUUAGCAGAUGUGUUUUCAAGUCCACUAUACUCAAUAAUUAGCUUUGCAUUAAAGUCAAGGUUGUCGACAGGAGAAUCUCAAGUGUCUUUCUUUUCUUCUAUACCAAAAGCUCAAUAAGAGAGAUAUUCAAUUCAAAGGUAGACAUCAGAAGAUGCUGUGCCAGGUAAAGUCAAGUUCCGGGAAAGAAUCUAUUACUGGCCGGGGAAGGUAAGAAGAAAAUACUGGCUACGCGGUUCAGGGAAGAGAAUAAUAAAGUACUUCCGAAGCAAGGUGUCAUGGAGACGCGACAUCAAGCCAAUAAUCUCUCUAUACUGUAAGUUAAGGGUUUAGGGCCGCCGGUGACGAAGAAAACACUUUGAUCAGGGUCCUUACACCUUUCCAUACUAUAUGCAAAAGAGAGAGAUUCCGCAAUUCCAGAAUCCGCUGGAGAAGGUUAGGAAGCAGUUCUGGUUUUGCCGACGAGAUCAGUAGAGUAUCUUUCCGUGCAAGUGAAGUCUACGAGAUCAUCCGGAUCUGAAUAAGAAGGGAAGGAGUGGAGUCAGAAGAAAAUAGCCAGUACCAUCUUCUGCCCUACCCAAAAGAAAGUAAUCCUUCCUUGCCUACCCAAAAGAAAGUAAUCCUUCUUUGCUCUUCCUUUCAUGGGGUUUAUUCUGCCGCAAUCCUUCUUUGCUCUUCCUUUCAUGGGGUUUCUUCCGCCGCCCUUAUUAUCUGUCAACAAACAAAGCAUUAGUUUGAGAGUGAGAUUCUGGAAAAGGAACUAAAGCAGAGGCUUUAGAAAGAGGAUCCGACCUCCCGAGCUUAUUAUCUUUAGAAAGAGGAUCCGACCUAGCUUAUUAUCUGUCUUCGGCAGGCAGGAUCGAAUGAGGAUGAUGGGACGAAUGAAUGCUUUUGAAACUACAGUUAAGAGCUUGCUUCAUUUGAUGCUAAGGAACGGAACCUUACUUAUCUAAGUUGCCGGAUAGUGGGAUAUGCCGUACUCUGAUUCAACCGCUUAUGUUCUUCGCCAAUGUUCCAAGGAUAAGGUUGAACACCUUCUAACAUAUACUUACGGACUACUCUGUUUUCUCACUUUUCGAAAUGCUCCUAAGGUAAACAACAUUUUGGACUAGUGGAAUUAGGAGACAAUCUUCUAAAUGUGCCAAGAAAGAGGUGCCCCAAUAGAUAGCUCUGCGGGACAGAUUCCUUCUUUGAGGCUUGGUAUGAUACGGUUCAGUUCCCUUUCUGCAAGGGCGGUGGGCCUGGACAAGUACGCUACUAAAUUCCACCGGAGUACUAAGAUCUAGAUCGAGACUAAGCUCUCAGCCAAGGAUAACUUAGAUGGGCUUCUUUCCCCACUAUUCAAUCCUUAGUUAAAGGGGCCGGUCCGAAAGCUCCGUUUUCUAUACAGCCGAACGCAUAAUUCCAGUUAUUUAUUGUCUCCAGAAAGCGAAACUACUAUCGUUACGCUGCACCAUCAUACGCAGGAAUGGAAUAUAGAGAACCGCUUCUUUAAUACCUUUCAAUAAACUCCUCACUUAGACAUGGCAAAACGGGACCCAUAAUAGGAACCCGUGGAUCUGAAGUCAACGCAGAAGGAUUGGAUUAUGCCUGAAUUAAUAGUAAAGGCCCUGCUUUCCAGGGGUGGAUUAGAGUUAGCAGAGAUGAAGGAAGUCGGGGGUGCUCCUACUAUUGGGGUGCUCGUUAAGUCGUUAAGUUACUGUGGAGCUUCUGUUGGGACUGGGCCUGGCAAUACUGUUCGAAUAGAACCUAGCUCAUUACUGCCUUCCCGCUUCAAAGCAUGGAAUUGACUCUGCCCCACCCUAGUAAUAGGAAUGAAACCACCUUCCCGGAUACCCAGUCCACAAAGAAUGAAACACAAAAGUAGGAAAGGUCGGAAUGACACUAAAGCAGAAGAAUGACCUGCUCCCUUAACUACAACUACCAAGUAUUCAAGUCAGAAGUAAGCCCCGCCAAGAGUCGAGGUGGGCAAGAGAGGCAGUUAGAGCGGAUCCUGUUCUAGCUUCUGAUUCAUAUCCUGCUCCAGCAAGACCAAGACUAGAAGUAAGGGAAGACUGAUUGGAAAUGAAUAAAGUCAAGGCUUUGGUGCGAGGCGAGAGAUGGCUCUUAGCACCUUAUUUGUUGAGACUCGGAUCAAGACUUAGUGGCGAGUUUACAGUGAAAAGUUCCAUUUGUUGAAUGAGUUGGGGCAAGCUAGUAGUUGAUUUAUUAUACAACAUAGCAAUCCGGGUGUAGCAAUGAAAGGUAUUGCUCGAGGCAAGGGGAGGCCCUUAUAGUAAUUGCCAAGAGAGGAAGGAGAGGCCAGUUGCCAGAGGUAUACGGAUGCGGCAGAUUGGUAAUACACCUUAAUGCUCGAUCAAGAGCCCGCCGGUUAGUUCAUCGAUUCUGCAUAAAAAUAUCGAUUAUUAUGUUAGGAUAAAGAGCUACUGUUGCUACUUAGUUUCAUUCUGACCUUACUAUUAAAGCCUCCACUCUCACUCUCACAGGAGCAGUAAAGUAUCUCGGAACAGUCGCUAGGGAUUGCAGAAGAUUGGUCAUAACCUUUCCCUUAACAGAAUCCGGGGAGAUUAGGUGAAAUAGCCGCCCUGUCGCGCCACUAAUAACUCAUUACUAUAUUCUUAUUGGAAUGUUUUCUUUCUAUCCAUCUUAUAUAAGCUUCUAUAAUAGACUUGACUUUAGUACACCUCGCAUCAAAGCCAAGAAGACUGGUAUGCCUGGUAUGCCCGGUAUGCCUGCUGGAUACCUAACAACUCUACUAAAGACAAAGUAAGCAUCAAGUGAUAAGGUAGCUGCAAGCGGGUCUUCACUGAACAGAUGGUUUUCCCCUUCCCCACUGCUCGAAGUAAAGUAUUUGGUUUUUGUCUUUUUUCUGAACUUGUAAAUUCAAUCUGAUAAUAAUAACAGAUCUCGGAUCUCGGAGAGCAGGGCAAUAAGAGAGGUGGACAGGCAAGGUCCAAUCUUUCACCAAGGAAAAGAGGUGGGUUCGGGUGAUGGCAAUGAGAGAGGCUCAACGCACCUCUGUGCUAACAAAGAUCGAAAUAUUCAAUAUGCGAGUUGGAGUCGGGCGCUAAGCUAAGAGAGUUCAAUUCCAGAAGCUCAGGGAUUAGUAGGUGGAGCAGUUAUUGACUUUCCCCUUUCCCGAGUCGGGUGCUUAGAAACUAUAAGAAAAGGUGUUAGCCCUUUCGUUUCGGUGGAAGUCUUCGUAUUAGAUAUAUAGAAAUAGGGGACAAUUAAGAGAUGGGUAACCAGCUAGAGAUAGAGAUUGGUAAGGGUAUAGUUAUUGUUGCCCGAGGAUGGGUAUGCAAGGGUGAAGAAGAAAGAUAUGGGUAUCAGGUAGAAAGAGAAGAAAGAGAAUUGCCUGUUAUAUAGUUCAAGUAGAAGUGAAAGUAGAUGUUUCAUCCUCUAUAGAAGCUGUUCCAGUGUUGGCGAUCAGAUGCUUGCUUGAUCAGAAGGUGUUUCAAGAUCCUUUCUAACGCUCUAAAUGACUACCUUUUAUUCCCUUCCUUCUCUCUGCUACAAGCCGAGUGAGAGUGAAAGUGGCAAGUAAAGUGGCUUGUGUUUCAGUCUGAAGCGGUACCUCGAGAUAGAGUUCAAGUGGCAAGUAAAGCUCUUAAAGCAAAGGUUUCCUGUUCCGUUUUCGUAUCAGCAUCGGCGUCAAGAGUCACUGUUGUGCGUAAGGGAGCUGCAAGUGCAAUUGCUUAUGUCAGGCGAUGAGAAGGAGUUGGCUUACCAGAAUCAACUGACAUACAUAUGUUUGUAACCAAAGGGAGAGGUAGCGGAACCUGCGAGGGAACUAGCAUCUGUCCCUUGAAAUCUAUAUUUGCUACUCACAAUAAGCUGCUGUUCCAAUGUUUGGCUUAGAAGCGGGAAGGAAAGAAAGGAACUCUCAUUAUUGAGUUUGUAGGAGUUGUUCUGGAGUCCUGUAUUUAUGGCUAAAGUGAGUUAGUAGGCUAUUCAGGUAUCAAACUAUCGAACAGAACCCACCCCUCUUAGACGUCAAGCCAACAAACACAUCAUUAACAGGCGGAUGCGGAUUCUCUGUCUCUUGUCAACAAUGAGGGUGCUACAGGGGCAGGGCAGGGGAAAACUCUACUCAAAAGUUUGAAUUGAACUCCUUAUUGCAAACCGACUAUAUUUCUUGCUGCCAAUAACUAUCUUGGAGACAACACUCGAACAGAAGGAUACAAAACGGUAGUAUACCUCCGCAUCAGAAGGAACUAUCUCUCCACGACCAACAUAAACAACUGGAGAGAGACUUUCUUACUUGCUCAUAACUCACUACCUUUCUACUAUUCUUCUCUACUUAACCGUUACGUGGGCAGUUUCGCAUUAAACAUUCCAUUCUUUCGACAACACUCUCACUAGGCGAACGAACAAAAAGACAAUCCGGCAAUUCAUUUACCAUACCCUCUUCUCUCUCUACUACAAGGAGCUAAAGGAACUCUACGACAAACAAAUACUUCAUUUCUAUCUAUCGAGUAAGCAUGUGAUAUAUAAUCCAAAGGGUAAAUAGACUGAACGAACAAGUCCUUUUUUCGUCAUGGCGGUAGGGCAGCUAAGAACCACUUCUCAAAUAGCUAAUUUCCCUAUGUUGGUACCCGGAAAACUGGAAUGGAAUCUCUCUCGUCAACUACAGGAAUUUCAUAUCUAUAGAACCAGUAUUUGAACCAACCUUCUUCUUUACCUUUUGAACCAACCUUCUUCUUUACCUUCUGAAGAUCUCGUUGAUGUCGACUUUUCUUUCUUCGGAUCCUUCUCUUGAAACUGUUUCUGAUCGCAGCUUCUUCACUUGCGGAUUCCCUUGCUUUAGAAUAUCAAUUAUGUGCAUUCACUACAAUAGACAGACCAGUGGGGAGAGUGAUACUUAUUUCAACCAGACGAGAUACUAUACUUUAGACGAUACCGAUAUCGCAUUAACCACAAGGCAGAGUUGGGACAGUGAACAAGCUACGUUUUGCUUUCCUUUGAGGUUGGUUUCUCUUCUCUUCCAUCUGCCACGGAACCGUCGUGUUCAGGAGCUAGGCGGGAAAGAAAAGCACUUUCAUUUUCAAACAAAUGCAGGAAAUGCUUAGCCAGCCGUUGCAGAAGCACUUGUUGGUGCAGAAGCACUUGUUAGUGAGUGAUCGCUUGUUAGUUAGUUUUCUUAAUGAGAAGUAUCGCUUGUUUUGGGUGAGUCUUUCUAAUAUGCUGUGGUUAGUUACUUCAUUCAUAUGCAACCUAAGCUAACGCUUACUUCUCUUCUGGGCACUGGGCAAUAAUAAAGUCAAGGUGCUUGGUGGCUUUCCCUUUGCGUGGAGCAGGGUUUUUCGAGUUCUUUACGUUGCUGGGCUUUCCUUUCCCUUGUAGUGAUCCAAGCAUUUCAGUUCAGAGGAAGCUGUCAACCUUACAAGUCAUAAUGUUACGCGUUAUAAUAGUUUCUACCCUUAACUAAAGCAAGCUGUCAACCCAACAAUAAACUCUCUCGUACGACGUCAAACCAAGAAUCUAUAUCGUAAACCACUUUAGCACCCAAAGGAACAACACUUGAAGAUUCAUAAUGGAAUUGAAACUCUCCAACAGUCCAACGAAUGCAUUUGUAGCCUAGAGCAAGUCCUUUCUGCGUUGGCUAUGUUAGCACAUAUACUGUUUUCGCCUGGAGCAAGUUCUUAUUUCGUUGAUUGAAACCUUGCUUUUUCACUAGCUUCUUGACUUUGCUUUAUAUACGGAAUUCGUGUUGAGCCGGUAAGUUUCUAAUUACGUAUAGAAAAAGAGAAUAUUCUGUGAGACUACGACUUUAUACUACUUGUUUGGUCUGCAAGAGAAGUUAUUGUGUCCGUAACUCUCAAAAGGUAGGCUUUUCAGAGAGAGUGAAGUUUGGGGGAGACGAAGCUGUGCUAAGGGAAGCUACAAUUCCAGUUUCGUUUGUGGAAAAAGAUAGUAUUGGCUCUUAAGCUAGCAAGGUGUCGUGGACGUAGAGAGUCUCUUUGUGCUUCUGAUGCGCUAAGUCCUGAUUACCCUUACGCUCUUUCAGCUUUACUUGGAAAUAAGUCUUCUUGCCCAACACAUACCUUAACCUUGAUUAUUGCCUUCUUAUGCUUAAGUAUAGGGUUCUAAGUCUACCGAGAGAAGUUAUUGACCUGACCGCGAGAGAGGAAAUGAAUGAUUCAGACAGGACAGACCCAGACUUCAGCACUAUAAUAAAUGGUAAGUGGAAGGAUUCUUUGUAUACCUUACUGAGUUUGACAGAAAGAAGGGAAUAGAGUAUCUCGCUCGUAUCGAGAAGCCGAGCCUAGAGAAGAAUCUUUUGAAGUGAAAAAGUAAGCUGCUGUCAGAGUUCAAUUAACAGUUUUCCUUGGUGAAAGUGAAAUGACUGUUUUCGUCUUGUUCUGUUCGCAAGUAAGUUGAAAGUCAUUCUGCUCUUUCUUGUUAAGGUCUUACCAGAGAGAGAAUCCGCAUGAGAGUUGAGUGUUGCGGUAAGGACGGGACAAUCUGUUUACCAUGAUAUUGCCUUAUUCCCCGGGACCUGAAUUAUGUCCUUCUUCAGUGCUAACGAGCAACAGAUGAAGCAGUUAGAGGAAAGUAGAGAAGUUAUGUUGCUGCAAGUGAACCAUCAAGUGAAGAAGCUGUGUUAGCUCCCGAAUAAGCUGUUCCAAAGUAAGCUGCAAACGGGUAGUCUUAAGUUGAAGUCUGAACUUCCCGGUGGUGUUCUUGUUUUGUCAACGAGAUCAGGAUCUUAAUAAAGAGAAGAUAAAGGAUCCGGCGUGAAAGUAGGGGGAAAGGAAGCUGCAUCGCCUGUUGCAAGGUUGAGCCUCAAGUCAGCGGGAAAGAUAGAUGGAUCAGACUCAGGCGCUGGGUUAAGGACAUAAUGUAAAGGCUUUGAAGCGUUAGCGGUUCCAACUUCAAGUUUCGUUCAAGGAUAGUUUGGGAGAGUGUAAGUUGAAGCGGAAGCAAGAUCGGAUCGGAAUCUUAUUCAAAAGACAGAGAACCUGGGUAUUUACUUGACUCUAUACUACAUGUGCUCGAUAGAUGAAAUUCCAUUCAUUCAUAUUGCCCCAUACUAAAGGCAAAGUUGUUGACAGAAGAUCCCCUGCUUGAAAAUGCAUUUGAGCCUAAGAAAUAGUCCUAUAGCUCUUAAACAUCAACUGAAACAAUAACUUCCAACUCCACUUGAAGAAACGAACUCCACUUUACUUCCAGCACUUGCUGCUAAUGACAAAACCUCUUCUGAUCUAAUUACUAUUUAUAUUGCACAGAGACCCUUAUUUAGCUUAUUGCCUCUUUAUACUUUACUGUGGAGCUGACUUCCUUUCUCUACGAAAACUAAGGUCAAACCAAUCACUGACACCGACCUUUCACAGUUCUGAACCAACAACGCAUGAACCUCUAGCGUAAACAAAGAGCUACGCUACCCUUAGACACAAGUAGAAGAUCGAACCUCUCUCCCACCAAAAGAACAAGACUCCAAGUUUCGCUAACCAACUUAUAAGAAUCGCUAUGACCAGACUUUAGCCUUAUUCUCGGCUGGCUUCAAUUCCAUUCAUCUUUAUUGAGGAUAAGACUUAUUGCCAACAGGAUAAGACGGAUUGCCUACUUCCCUUCCCGACCCGAACUCUACUACAAGGAAGAAGAAAGCCCUUCACUUUCUUG